GGAUGGGUCCGCGGUGGAUUAGCUUGUUGGUGGGGUAAUGGCCUACCAAGGCGACGAUCCAUAGCUGGUCUGAGAGGACGAUCAGCCACACUGGGACUGAGACACGGCCCAGACUCCUACGGGAGGCAGCAGUGGGGAAUCUUGCGCAAUGGGCGAAAGCCUGACGCAGCGACGCCGCGUGCGGGAAGAAGGCCUUAGGGUUGUAAACCGCUUUCAGGAGGGACGAAGCCACUCGGGUGAAUAGCCCAGAGGGUGACGGUACCUCCAGAAGAAGCCCCGGCUAACUACGUGCCAGCAGCCGCGG
rnacentral:rRNA from 2 species